GUGAGGAAUAUUGGUCAAUGGGCGCAAGCCUGAACCAGCCAUCCCGCGUGAAGGAAGAAUGCGCUACGCGUUGUAAACUUCUUUUCCAGGGGGAGAAUUUUCCUGUCGAGACAGGGAUUGACGGUACCCUAGGAAUAAGCAUCGGCUAACUCCGUGCCAGCAGCCGCGGUAAUACGGAGGAUGCGAGCGUUAUCCGGAUUUAUUGGGUUUAAAGGGUGCGUAGGCGGAUUGAUAAGUCAGUGGUGAAAUUCUGCAGCUUAACUGUAGACUUGCCGUUGAUACUGUUAGUCUUGAGUGUGGUCAAGGCAGGCGGAAUGUGUAAUGUAGCGGUGAAAUGCUUAGAUAUUACACAGAACACCGAUCGCGAAGGCAGCUUGCUGGGUCAUUACUGACGCUGAUGCACGAAAGCGUGGGGAUCAAACAG
rnacentral:rRNA from 1 species